rnacentral:tmRNA from 1 species
CCUUUAAAUCUUCAGACAUUACGCCUAUAUUAACUUUGUUCCUUCGGGGACUAUGGUGAUAAACGCGCAUGUAAUACACGGAUCGGACCCGGGGGCGGUACCCGGCGACUCCACCAAUAUCCUGCUCAUUUGGCAGCUGUGGGGUCGAAAUAGGAUCGACGAACGUCUAAAGGGGUUAGCUUUGUUUCGGUGAGUUACCACCGUUAUCGGUACAAAAUUGUAUAGUUGCAAAUGACAACCGUGCUCCGGCUAUGGCUUUGGCUGCGUAAGCAGUCCAAGUUGCCGAAACUUAAGUCCUUGCGUUUAGCGACGUAAGGCGGGGUUCGCAGGUACCUGGCAACAGAAACCUG